rnacentral:rRNA from 1 species
UACGUAGGGUGCAAGCGUUGUCCGGAAUUAUUGGGCGUAAAGAGCUCGUAGGCGGUUUGUCGCGUCUGCCGUGAAAGUCCGGGGCUCAAUUCCGGAUCUGCGGUGGGUACGGGCAGACUAGAGUGAUGUAGGGGAGACUGGAAUUCCUGGUGUAGCGGUGAAAUGCGCAGAUAUCAGGAGGAACACCGAUGGCGAAGGCAGGUCUCUGGGCAUUAACUGACGCUGAGGAGCGAAAGCAUGGGGAGCGAACAGG